CAGAUGUUUAAGCCGCCUCCAGCAGGGAAAUCAGACUCGAUAGGUACACAUCAAACAGAUGUGGGUUGCAGAUGUGGAAGGUGUCCUCAGGUCCAUGGAGAGACAGCUGAAAGCUUCCCUGGAGAAAUAUCCUCGUGGUAAAAGUGGAAACCAACCAGAGACCUCUUUAAACCCCAGCAGGUCUCUCUGCAGUCAACCAGCUCAACCAUAGAGGCAACUGUUCUCAAAGUAUUUAAAGAACAGAACAGAUGACAAAUCCCACAUUCAGACCCUUCUUUUAGACGUUUAGUUGUCUUUUAUUAAAGCCAAAUAGGGAUGUCACGAAAGAUUAGUUCUCACAGCGCCAUUUCUCAGUGUCGUGAGCACUAAAAUUGCAACAUAUAUUUAUUUGAGCCAAGUUUUCUUAGAAAGCCUGAGCGCUUCAAUCAUUCAUGUGAUGAUAACUUCUCUUAAGCUGUUGUUUGACAUUCAGGAGAGCAAAGUCAUUUCACACUCUGAUGUAUCAUUACUCCAAACUCAAUGGAAAGCAGUAUCCAGAUUGAAGUUCUUUUGUCAUUUCUCUGCGUACCAAACAAGAA